rnacentral:rRNA from 1 species
AUUGAACGCUGGCGGCAUGCUUUACACAUGCCAGUCGAACGGUAACAGGCCUUCGGGUGCUGACGAGUGGCGAACGGGUGAGUAAUGCAUCGGAACGUACCCAGAGGUGGGGGAUAACGCAGCGAAAGCUGUGCUAAUACCGCAUGUGAUCUGAGGAUGAAAGCGGGGGACCGAGCAGCAAUGUUUGGCCUCGCGCCUUUGGAGCGGCCGAUGUCGGAUUAGCUAGUUGGUGGGGUAAAGGCCUACCAAGGCGACGAUCCGUAGCUGGUCUGAGAGGACGACCAGCCACACUGGGACUGAGACACGGCCCAGACUCCUACGGGAGGCAGCAGUGGGGAAUUUUGGACAAUGGGCGCAAGCCUGAUCCAGCAAUGCCGCGUGCGGGAAGAAGGCCUUCGGGUUGUAAACCGCUUUUGGCAGGAACGAAACGGUGUCUGCUAAUACCGGGCGCUAAUGACGGUACCUGCAGAAUAAGCACCGGCUAACUACGUG